rnacentral:lncRNA from 1 species
UACGGAUAGUCCAUACGAAGCCCCUCGGACCAAUCAACCCUCCGCGGGAGUGCUAGCUCGCACAGUCGGCUUCUGAUGGUAGAUCUGAAUUGAUCUCUUUCUUCGAUCACCUCGAACCUUUUUGAUAUCAAAGAUGCAUCAGAGAAGGAUGCUGGAUGGUGGAGAAAAUUUAGAUGAAGACUUUCUUCUCUUUAGUUUUUUCCUCAUCCAAAAAUCUAGAACAGUUCUAGGUCUCUCACCCAAGAGGAGAACGGUCUUCUCUUUUGUUCAUGCCAAAGAGGAAGGAAACCCACCCA